UUGUUUAUAGUAAAGAUAUCGCGAUAUUCACUUCUUUGCAAGGUUGCUAACAACUCGUUAAACAAAACACAUCGAUCAACAACCAACAAAUCGGGGAGCAUCGAACAACUCAUUCAGUUUCCUUCUGAACAUCGUCCAGUAACAUGGCCAUAGACGAGAAUAAGAUGAUGGGCGGUGGAGAAGUGGUGCUCCAUGUCGAACCCUCCAACGGUGUGAUAACAGUCACAGCCAAAAAGACUCCAGCCGGCGUUAAACCCGUCAAAGUAUUGGAGAUGUUGCCCAUGUCGAUGGCCAACAAGGCGAAGAAGAAGGCCAAAGAACACCAACUGAUGACCCCCAAAACCAAAUAAAUAGUGACUUGUUAAUAUAACAUUUGUAAUGUAGGGACUGUUCAACCUGUUCUUUAUUAAAUAGUUUGAAUUUA